rnacentral:rRNA from 1 species
AACAGGAUUAGAUACCCUGGUAGUCCACGCCGUAAACGAUGUCGACUUGGAGGCUGUUCCCUUGAGGAGUGGCUUCCGGAGCUAACGCGUUAAGUCGACCGCCUGGGGAGUACGGCCGCAAGGUUAAAACUCAAAUGAAUUGACGGGGGCCCGCACAAGCGGUGGAGCAUGUGGUUUAAUUCGAUGCAACGCGAAGAACCUUACCUACUCUUGACAUCCAGAGAAUUUAGCAGAGAUGCUUUAGUGCCUUCGGGAACUCUGAGACAGGUGCUGCAUGGCUGUCGUCAGCUCGUGUUGUGAAAUGUUGGGUUAAGUCCCGCAACGAGCGCAACCCUUAUCCUUUGUUGCCAGCGCGUAAUGGCGGGAACUCAAAGGAGACUGCCGGUGAUAAACCGGAGGAAGGUGGGGAUGACGUCAAGUCAUCAUGGCCCUUACGAGUAGGGCUACACACGUGCUACAAUGGCGCAUACAAAGAGAAGCGACCUCGCGAGAGCAAGCGGACCUCAUAAAGUGCGUCGUAGUCCGGAUUGGAGUCUGCAACUCGACUCCAUGAAGUCGGAAUCGCUAGUAAUCGUAAAUCAGAAUGUUACGGUGAAUACGUUCCCGGGCCUUGUACACACCGCCCGUCACACCAUGGGAGUGGGUUGCAAAAGAAGUAGAUAGCUUAACCGCAAGGAGGGCGCUUACCACUUUGUGAUUCAUGACUGGGGUGAAGUCGUAACAAGGUAACCGUAGGGGAACCUGCGGCUGGAUCACCUCCUU